UACGUAGGUGGCAAGCGUUGUCCGGAAUUAUUGGGCGUAAAGCGCGCGCAGGCGGUCCUUUAAGUCUGAUGUGAAAGCCCACGGCUCAACCGUGGAGGGUCAUUGGAAACUGGGGGACUUGAGUGCAGAAGAGGAGAGUGGAAUUCCACGUGUAGCGGUGAAAUGCGUAGAGAUGUGGAGGAACACCAGUGGCGAAGGCGACUCUCUGGUCUGUAACUGACGCUGAGGCGCGAAAGACGUGGGGAGCAAACAGG
rnacentral:rRNA from 1 species